rnacentral:rRNA from 1 species
ACCCGCUGAACUUAAGCAUAUCAAUAAGCGGAGGAAAAGAAACCAACAGGGAUUGCUCUAGUAACGGCGAGUGAAGCAGCAAUAGCUCAAAUUUGAAAUCUGGCGUCUUCGACGUCCGAGUUGUAAUUUGUAGAGGAUGCUUCUGAGUGGCCACCGACCUAAGUUCCUUGGAACAGGACGUCAUAGAGGGUGAGAAUCCCGUAUGCGGUCGGAAAGGCGCUCUAUACGUAGCUCCUUCGACGAGUCGAGUUGUUUGGGAAUGCAGCUCUAAAUGGGAGGUAAAUUUCUUCUAAAGCUAAAUAUUGGCCAGAGACCGAUAGCGCACAAGUAGAGUGAUCGAAAGAUGAAAAGCACUUUGGAAAGAGAGUUAAAAAGCACGUGAAAUUGUUAAAAGGGAAGGGAUUGCAACCAGACUUGCUCGCGGUGUUCCGCCGGUCUUCUGACCGGUCUACUCGCCGCGUUGCAGGCCAGCAUCGUCUGGUGCCGCUGGAUAAGACUUGAGGAAUGUAGCUCCCUCGGGAGUGUUAUAGCCUCUUGUGAUGCAGCGAGCGCCGGGCGAGGUCCGCGCUUCGGCUAGAAUGCUGGCGUAAUGGUCGUAAUCCGCCCGUCUUGAAACACGGACCAAGGAGUCUAACAUCUAUGCGAGUGUUCGGGUGUCAAACCCCUACGCGUAAUGAAAGUGAACGGAGGUGAGAACCGCAAGGUGCAUCAUCGACCGAUCCUGAUGUCUUCGGAUGGAUUUGAGUAAGAGCAUAGCUGUUGGGACCCGAAAGAUGGUGAACUAUGCCUGAAUAGGGUGAAGCCAGAGGAAACUCUGGUGGAGGCUCGCAGCGGUUCUGACGUGCAAAUCGAUCGUCAAAUUUGGGUAUAGGGGCGAAAGACUAAUCGAACCAUCUAGUAGCUGGUUCCUGCCGAAGUUUCCCU